rnacentral:tRNA from 1 species
GGCGUGGUAGCCAAGUGGUAAGGCAGAGGUCUGCAAAACCUCCAUUCACCGGUCCGAAUCCGGUCCACGCCUCCA